UCCAUAUUCAUAGCACUUGUCGAUGUUGAUGAUACACAAAAACCGCCACACUGGCGCCCAAACAGGGACCACCAAUGCACAUUUGUUCAUUUAAAUAAAAUAAUAACAUAAAAAUUUUGUAAUUUAUUACAGGUAUAAAUUGCCACAACAACUUAUUAAUUAUUUGUAUGUAUUGUCUUUUCACGAACAUUGACACCUGUCCACCGAGUUGCUGAUACUACUAAUACUAAGAGCUGGUGCGACAGACGAAUCAAAUAGAGCACCACUGACCACUUCAGAGGAGUACAAAGAACACGAGGUUGUAUCAUCACAUUAAGUUCUGUGGACUCUUGUAUAUUUGUUCCUGCAAAGAAAUACAGUUUCCGUUGCUCAGUUUACUUAAAGGACACAUGAGGCUGGAUCAUACAGGAAGAGAAGAAUCCAGUUUGAGAUUCAAAUUGAAAUACUCGUGCAAGUUUCCCGGAUGCAGGAGUAGUUAUUAUGUAAAAACAAAUUCCAAACACAAGAAUAAACAUUUCUAUAAAUUUCCAGCUGCAUCAAAAAGUGAGACUUUAAAGAAGUGUAAAUUGAUCUGUAAUAUAGAUGGUGUCAACUGUAGUUAAUUAUGUGUGUGAGGAUCAUUUUUAGGAAGCAGAUUUUGUGAACUUUACCAGACACAGGCUAAAUCCUGGUGUUAUACCAAAACACAUGGAAUUGGUGUUGUAUCGCCCUCACCCCACCCAUCUGUGUUACACUGGUGGUGGUGGUGGUGGUGGCGGUUUCACCACAUCGGGUGCAAAUAUAAGUGUGCACGAGACAGGUCACAAUGCAAAAUCUACAGUAAUACAACGAAGCAGUCCCCCUUUACAGAGCACAGAUGAUGGUGAGUACAGCUUUUUAUCCUCACCUGUUUAUGAUGUUGAAAGUAGUCCAGGUGUAAUGGGAUCUGACGUUUUUAAACGUGAUUUAACUCCAAGAAAACACAAAAUGUAUAAACUGCAUAGAAUUACAGUUUCCAGAGUUUGUAAAUUGAAAAAACAGCCACAGAAUGAGAGGAAUAAAUUGAAAAUUCUAAAAAGAGUUGUAUGAUGACAGGAAAUUUCAGUUAAUUGAAGAAGAGUUGAAUGAUGUGACUAAAACUUUUAUUAAUUGUCAGUUAAGAAAUGCCAAUAUGCAGCCCACAGCAGUACGGUGGUCUAUACAAGAUAAGGCAUUUGCUUUAUCUAUUUAUAAGCGUAGUCCCCGGUGGUACAGAUAUUUGGCCACAUACUUCUCCCUUCCAUCUGUCAGGGUGCUCAAGGGAGUGCUUUCCCACAUACCAUUUGAUACAGGACUUAAUCCAGCUUUAUUAAACUUUUUAGCAAGGGAAGUAAGUAAUAUGCAUGAAAAUGACAAGUAUUGUGCUCUACUUUUUGAUGAAAUGUCUCUGGAUGAUGGUACGUACUAUGAUGCACACAAACAGCUAAUUAUGGGUAUCAGGACUUGGGUCAUUUAGGACGUUCACCUGUAGCUGCUAGUCAAGCAUUGGUUUUUAUGCUGAAAGGCAUUCACAAAACUUUAAAACAAGUUCUAGCAUAUUACUUUACCGCAACCACUUUCCACUAUACCCAUUUGAAAUCACUCAUUGUUCACAUCACAAGUGAACUACAGAAUAUUGGGUUCAAAGUGGUUUGUACUGUAUGUGACCAGAAUGCAACAAACCAAAAGGCCCUUAAGCAACUGUGUGAAGCGAAUUUGUUGAAGCCCAGUAUAUUUCAUUUUGUCGUCAACAAUCAACCAAUUGUUACCAUUUAUGAUGUACCGCAUCUGCUCAAAAACACUAGAAAUGCUUUGAUAGAUAAUAAAAUUCAAUUUGAACCUCACAA